rnacentral:rRNA from 1 species
CAGUCGCCACGGGAAUACGUAGGUGGCAAGCGUUGUCCGGAAUUAUUGGGCGUAAAGGGCUCGCAGGCGGUUUCUUAAGUCUGAUGUGAAAGCCCCCGGCUCAACCGGGGAGGGUCAUUGGAAACUGGGAAACUUGAGUGCAGAAGAGGAGAGUGGAAUUCCACGUGUAGCGGUGAAAUGCGCAGAGAUGUGGAGGAACACCAGUGGCGAAGGCGACUCUCUGGUCUGUAACUGACGCUGAGGAGCGAAAGCGUGGGGAGCGAACAGGAUUAGAUACCCGAGUAGUCCCUGUCUCUUAUAC